UACGUAGGGUGCAAGCGUUGUCCGGAAUUAUUGGGCGUAAAGAGCUCGUAGGCGGUCUGUCGCGUCGGCUGUGAAAUCCCGAGGCUCAACCUCGGGUCUGCAGUCGAUACGGGCAGGCUAGAGUGUGGUAGGGGAGAUCGGAAUUCCUGGUGUAGCGGUGAAAUGCGCAGAUAUCAGGAGGAACACCGGUGGCGAAGGCGGAUCUCUGGGCCAUUACUGACGCUGAGGAGCGAAAGCGUGGGGAGCGAACAGG
rnacentral:rRNA from 1 species